AUGCACAUCUCAUUGACCUGCUUGCUUUGCAUUAGUAAGCAGUGUUAUUUCUCAUGUGCUAAAGGAUAGCUGAAGGCUAAUUAGCAGCUUUGUUCUAUUUAGUGAUUGCUGCCAGUCUCCUUCAUACAGAG